rnacentral:lncRNA from 1 species
GUCUGUUCUAACAGUAAUUCCAAAAGGGAGGAGGGCAUAAAGAGUCCUGUCCAGCUCCCCAUUCCCAUCACAGCCUAAACUAGUGUUUUCAGGUUAACUUUGGAAUGCCCUUGGCCAAGAGGAGGGCAGGUACUCAGAUGGUUCGGGGGACUUAGAAUUUUAUUUUUGGUUUUUAUUUUUGGUACAAAAGUAAUAUGAACUUGCUAUGGGAUAUACACCUCUUUAACAACACAACUCAAAGAGACACUUCAGAAGGCACAGAAGCAAGAAGGCUGGGCUUUUAGGAUGAUACAAAGAAGUGUUAAGAAGUUAAUUAGCACCUGCAUUCUAAAGAGCAGUCAGUUACAAUUUAGGACAGAUGGGGGUCAAGCACUGAAAAACAUUCAGAAGAGCCUGGGAAAUUGUGAAAGAUAACAGCUUAAACUUUAUUUUUGAAUCAGCAGCCUUGCCACUCUGGAAGGCAAUGCAGAUCCGGUUGACAUUCCAACACCAAAAUAGUCAUGUAAGACCCUGAAAUUGGCUUCAACACUGGGUUCCAUGAAUGCUAUGAUUUGCACCUGUUCCCUGUCAUCAUCCUCACAAACUGCUCUGUGCCCUGGUCUUGGCUGAACCUCUUUCAGCCCACCUGACCUUUCGGCAGGAAGUUCUUUUGCCUUUUUCCUAACUGCAAUUGAAAUCUUCAGAGAGAACGUUUCUCAUUUUCUUAGUUCUACCCUCCUUUCAUCUACUACAUAUUUGCUGAGAUGUCUGCCAUGCAUCCAGCCAGUCCUGUGAUAGGCCCCGAAAAACAACAAGGAACAAUAUAAGCACAAGUUUCACCUACAGAGACCUUAUGGGAGAGUAGAAAUAGCAAUACAGUAAUUAAUCAAUCAAUUAAUUGUAUGAAGGAAAAUCCAGAAGAAUAUGAGGUUUUUUGGGUUUUUUUUGUUCUGGUUUGGUUUGUUUUUUUUUGAGACAGAGUCUUGCUCUGUCACCCAGGCUGGAGUGCAGUGGUGCCAUCUCGGCUCACUGCAACCUCUGCCUUCUGGGUUCAAGCGAUUAUCCUGCCUCAGCCUCCUGAGUAGCUGGGACUACAGGCGCCCACCACCACGCCCUGCUAAUUUUUGUAUUUUUAGUAGAGACAGGGUUUCACCAUAUUGGCCAGGCUGGUCUUGAACUCCUGACCUUGUGAUCUGCCUGCCUUGGCAUCCCAAAGUGCUGGUAUUAUAGGUGUAAGCCACCGUGCCCG